GCGUGGUCCUGCAGUCGACGAUUCCUACGGGAGGCAGCAGCAGGGAAUUUUGCACAAUGGGCGAAAGCCUGAUGCAGCGACGCCGCGUGCGGGAUGAAUGCCUUCGGGUUGUAAACCGCUUUCAGGAGGGACGAAGCGAAAGUGACGGUACCUCCAGAAGAAGCCCCGGCCAACUACGUGCCAGCAGCCGCGGUAAUACGUAGGGGGCGAACGUUGUCCGGAUUUAUUGGGCGUAAAGAGCUCGUAGGCGGCUCAGCAAGUCGGCCGUGAAAACCCGGGGCUCAACCCCGGGACGCCGGUCGAAACUGCUGUGGCUAGGGUCCGGUAGAGGAGAGUGGAAUUCCCGGUGUAGCGGUGGAAUGCGCAGAUAUCGGGAGGAACACCAGUAGCGAAGGCGGCUCUCUGGGCCGGUACCGACGCUGAGGAGCGAAAGCUAGGGGAGCGAACAGGAUUAGAUACCCUGGUAGUCCUAGCCGUAAACGUUGGGCACUAGGUGUGGCGGACUCAUUGACGUCUGCCGUGCCGCAGCUAACGCAUUAAGUGCCCCGCCUGGGGAGUACGGUCGCAAGGCUAAAACUCAAAGGAAUUGACGG
rnacentral:rRNA from 1 species